UGAAAUCGCUAGGGGUGCCAUUUUUAAUGGCUGAGAUCAACGUGCAACGUUGGGACUCUUUGAACCUGAACUGGCUAACAAACCAGCGGAGGAAAGUGACUGUAAGACUAU
rfam:Virgibacillus chiguensis strain CGMCC 1.6496 genome assembly, contig: Ga0104465_104